rnacentral:lncRNA from 1 species
GCGGCUUCCCCUGAACACGGAUCCUAGAGGCCGGGCAGAAGCAGCAUGGGUUUCCACUCACACGUUGACUCACAGUUUGGAGCACGAAUUAAAGAACCACGAACUUCAAGGUAAAACGGGCAACGGCGUUGGGGCAAGCCUCUCUGCAUCUGCGUGUCCAGCCUCUCCUGCGUGCCAGAAGUCCCCAGGCAGGAGUGUGGUGGGACAUCCGGCU